UUCGGUCGUCUGGUUCGGUACAAAACUUUCUCGAUGAUAAGCUCGAUUAUUUGUUUGUUUUUCCGCGAUUUCCGCGAUAAAAUGCUAAAUAAUUUAUAAAGUGACCAUGGUGACCAUCCACCACGACUUCAGGAACAUCGCCAGCAAUGGUUUUCAUAUAUCGACGCAGCGGAAGACUCACGGUGGAUCCCAGGCAUUACCAUUUAAGUCGGAUCCGUGCGUUUCGCACGAAGCAAAUGAAGAAUAUGCCCAGCAAAACUCCACGACCGGUUGUCGGACUUCCCCAAGCUGGAUGAUUUGCAUGCGAGCUGAUGAACAGCAGAACGAUGGUCCUUACUGGUUGGAAUUACAGCGGAUCAUCUAAAUUUGCUUCAUCGUAGCCAUCGUAGCAUAACAUGGACAUAUCCAUCUGAAUACUUGACCAUCGUCUUUUGCGCCGCUCGGAUGUUUGUUACUAGGGUAACUCGUCUGGAACUGUGGCUUGGAAGCGGCUACCGUCACCUACCGUCAUGUUUUUUGAUAAAAAUAGAACCAUAACAUCUGCGCAAAUUCAAUAGUAAUUAAUAAAGUUAUGAUAAAAACAAA